UACGGGGGGGGGCAAGCGUUGUUCGGAAUUACUGGGCGUAAAGGGCCAGUAGGCGGCCAACUAAGUCGGAUGUGAAAUCCCCAGGCUUAACCUGGGAACUGCAUCCGAUACUGGAUGGCUUGAAUUCGGGAGAGGGAUGCAGAAUUCCAGGUGUAGCGGUGAAAUGCGUAGAUAUCUGGAGGAAUACCGGUGGCGAAGGCGGCAUCCUGGACCGACAUUGACGCUGAUGAGCGAAAGCUAGGGGAGCAAACGGG
rnacentral:rRNA from 1 species